rnacentral:rRNA from 1 species
AACGAACGCUGGCGGCAUGCCUAACACAUGCAAGUCGAACGAGACCUUCGGGUCUAGUGGCGCACGGGUGCGUAACGCGUGGGAACCUGCCCUUAGGUUCGGAAUAACUCCCCGAAAGGGGUGCUAAUACCGGAUAAUGUCUUCGGACCAAAGAUUUAUCGCCUUUGGAUGGGCCCGCGUUGGAUUAGCUAGUUGGUAGGGUAAAAGCCUACCAAGGCGACGAUCCAUAGCUGGUCUGAGAGGAUGAUCAGCCACACUGGGACUGAGACACGGCCCAGACUCGUACGGGAGGCAGCAGUGGGGAAUAUUGGACAAUGGGCGAAAGCCUGAGCCAGCAAUGCCGCGUGAGUGAUGAAGGCCUUAGGGUUGUAAAGCUCUUUUACCCGGGAUGAUAAUGACAGUACCGGGAGAAUAAGCUCCGGCUAACUCCGUG